UACGAGGGGGGCGAGCGUUGUUCGGAAUUACUGGGCGUAAAGCGUGCGUAGUCGGUAUUGAGAGUCGCGGGUGAAAUCCCAGGGCUUAACCCUGGAACUGCCUGCGAGACCUCAGUACUAGAGUGUGAGAGGGGAUAGUGGAAUACCCAGUGUAGCGGUGAAAUGCGUAGAGAUUGGGUGGAACACCGGUGGCGAAGGCGGCUAUCUGGCUCACAACUGACGAUCAGGCACGAAAGCGUGGGGAGCAAACAGG
rnacentral:rRNA from 1 species